UACGAAGGGGGCUAGCGUUGCUCGGAAUUACUGGGCGUAAAGCGCACGUAGGCGGAUUGUUAAGUCGGGGGUGAAAUCCUGGAGCUCAACUCCAGAACUGCCUUUGAUACUGGCGAGCUUGAGUCCGGGAGAGGUGAGUGGAACUGCGAGUGUAGAGGUGAAAUUCGUAGAUAUUGGGAGGAACACCAGUGGCGAAGGCGGCUCACUGGACCGGUACUGACGCUGAUGCGCGAAAGCGUGGGGAGCAAACGGGG
rnacentral:rRNA from 1 species